rnacentral:rRNA from 1 species
AGAUAGAUUAUAAUAGUAUUAUAGAUUAUUAAGUUUUAUAAUAAAAAAAAAAAAAAAAAAGUAAAAUCACUGCUUGCACACAGAUUUAAAAACGUGGUUUUAUGACUUUAGAGGUUUUGAUUAGUUCGCAAUAUUACUGUGAUUUUUAAAGGGUUAGUUAAAUUUGUGCCAGCAUCUGCGGUUAGACUAAGAAUUUAUUUUGUGUUUAUCAGGGGUUUAUUAAGUAGGAAUUAGAUUAAUAGGAUUUGGUGAAAUAGUAAUGUGAAAUUAUAUUUUAUUUUAUAAAAAAAUUAAGGUAAAGAAGAGGAUUAGAUACCCUGUUAUUUUAAUUGUGUUUUUCCUAAGGAUUUAUGGUAAAAUUAAAAGAUUUGGCGGCUGGUUAAUAUUAAAGGGGUUUGUUUGUUUAUUUGAUGAGGCUCAUUUUAUAUCACUUGCUGUAUUUAGUAUACCGUCAUUUAAUUAGUUUGUAAUCAAUUAAUUCAUAGAAUAAUUUUAGUAGUUUAGAUCAAGGUGCAGAGAUAAGCAAGGCUAAAUUAACGACAAUAAGAUAUUAUUAUACAUAAUUAUAUUAAUUAUACUUAAAGAUGGAUUUAACUGUAAUAAUAAAAAUGUGAUUUAUUUUCUAGUGUACAUAUUGCCCGUCAUUCUCCAUGAGACAAGUCGAAACAAAGUAGAGCUAGCUGAAGCUAGCUCUA